rnacentral:rRNA from 1 species
AUUGAACGCUGGCGGCAGGCCUAACACAUGCAAGUCGAGCGAGCGGCGGACGGGUGCGUAAUGUCUGGGAACCUGCCUGCUGGAGAGGGAUAACUAUUGGAAACGGUAGCUAAUACCGCAUACCAUCAGAUGUGCCCAGAUGGGAUUAGCUAGUCGGUGGGGUAAUGGCUCACCUAGGCGACGAUCCCUAGCUGGUCUGAGAGGAUGACCAGCCAAACUGGAACUGAGACACGGUCCAGACUCCUACGGGAGGCAGCAGUGGGGAAUAUUGCACAAUGGGCGCAAGCCUGAUGCAGCCAUGCCGCGUGUGUGAAGAAGGCCUUCGGGUUGUAAAGCACUUUCAGCGGGGAGGCGUUACCCGCAGAAGAAGCACCGGCUAACUCCGUGCCAGCAGCCGCGGUAAUUC